AUUGAACGCUGGCGGCAGGCCUAACACAUGCAAGUCGAGCGAGCGGCGUACGGGUGAGUAAUGUCUGGGAAACCGCCCGAUUGAGGGGGAUAACUACUGGAAACGGUAGCUAAUACCGCAUAUUAUCAGAUUUGCCCAGAUGGGAUUAGCUAGUUGGGGGGUUAACGGCCGACAUCGGCGACGAUCCCUAGCUGGUUUGCGAGGAUGACCAGCGACACUGUAACGGGGACACGGUCAUGACUCCUCAGGGAGGCAGCGGUGGGGAAUAUUGGACAAUGGUGGCAAGCGUGACGAAGUGAGGCCGCGUGUGGGAAGAAGGCCUUCGGGUUGUAAAGCACGUUCAGCGGGGAGGCGUUACCCGCAGAAGAAGCACCGGCUAACUACGUGCCAGCAGCCGCGGUAAUUC
rnacentral:rRNA from 1 species